GUGGGGAAUUUUGGACAAUGGGCGCAAGCCUGAUCCAGCCAUGCCGCGUGCAGGAUGAAGGCCUUCGGGUUGUAAACUGCUUUUGUACGGAACGAAAAAGCUCUCUCUAAUACAGGGGGUGAAUGACGGUACCGUAAGAAUAAGCACCGGCUAACUACGUGCCAGCAGCCGCGGUAAUACGUAGGGUGCAAGCGUUAAUCGGAAUUACUGGGCGUAAAGCGUGCGCAGGCGGUUAUGUAAGACAGAGGUGAAAUCCCCGGGCUCAACCUGGGAACUGCCUUUGUGACUGCAUAGCUGGAGUGCGGCAGAGGGGGAUGGAAUUCCGCGUGUAGCAGUGAAAUGCGUAGAUAUGCGGAGGAACACCGAUGGCGAAGGCAAUCCCCUGGGCCUGCACUGACGCUCAUGCACGAAAGCGUGGGGAGCAAACAGGAUUAGAUACCCUGGUAGUCC
rnacentral:rRNA from 1 species